rnacentral:rRNA from 1 species
GGGUCAGUAGGUUGGUCGUGCCACCGGUACGUACUGGUCUCACUGAUUCCUCCUUCCUGAAGAACCGUAAUGCCAUCAAUUUGGUGUUGCGGGGAAACAGGACUGUUACUUUGAAAAAAUUAGAGUGUUUAAAGCAGGCUAACGCUUGAAUACAUUAGCUUGGAAUAAUGAAAUAGGACGAUCGAUCCUAUUUUGUUGGUUUCUAGGAUUGACGUG